rnacentral:rRNA from 1 species
CACCGGCGGCCCGAGUGGUAGCCGUUUUUAUUGGGUCUAAAGGGUCCGUAGCCGGCUUGAUAAGUCCUUUGGGAAAUCUGGCAGCUUAACUGUCAGGCUUCUAAGGGAUACUGUCAGGCUUGGGACCGGAAGAGGUAAGGGGUACUCCAGGGGUAGGAGUGAAAUCUUGUAAUCCCUGGGGGACCAUCUGUGGCGAAGGCGCCUUACCAGAACGGGUCCGACGGUGAGGGACGAAAGCUAGGGGAGCAAACCGGAUUAGAUACCCGGGUAGUCCUAGCUGUAAACGAUGCUCGCUAGGUGUCAGACACGGUGCGACCGUGUUUGGUGCCGCAGGGAAGCCGUUAAGCGAGCCACCUGGGAAGUACGGUCGCAAGGCUGAAACUUAAAGGAAUUGGCGGGGGAGCACUACAACGGGUGGAGCCUGCGGUUUAAUUGGAUUCAACGCCGGAAAACUCACCGGGUGCGACAGCAAUAUGUAGGUCAGGCUGAAGGUCUUACCUGAAUCGCUGAGAGGAGGUGCAUGGCCGUCGUCAGUUCGUACUGUGAAGCAUCCUGUUAAGUCAGGCAACGAGCGAGACCCGCGCCCACAGUUGCCAGCAUGUUCUCCGGAACGAUGGGUACACUGUGGGGACCGCCGCUGCUAAAGCGGAGGAAGGAACGGGCUACGGUAGGUCAGUAUGCCCCGAAUCUCCCGGGCUACACGCGGGGCUACAAUGGUUGGGACAAUGGGCACCUACCCUGAAAAGGGACGGUAAUCUGCCUAAAACCCCAACCCGAUGAGGUUACGGGAUUUGAGGGCCUGUAAACUCGCCCUCAUGAAGCUGGAAUCCGUAGUAAUCGCGUUUCAACAUAGCGCGGUGAAUACGUCCCUGNUCCUUGCACACACCGCCCGUCAGAUUACCAGUCGU